UCAAAAUCUUUUCUGCCUCAGUCAGUUCUUGCAUGUCUGCAGUUCUGUCACUUAUUUUAGCACUGGGCACCACUUGUGUUACGCCCUUUUGACUCUGAAAUGCACUGCAGGGUCUGGUAUUACUCAGAGCCACAAGGGCGUAUAUGUACAUACGCCCUUCUGGCUCCAAACAGUACUCCACCUUUUUGGUACAGGAGGAUGAGAUAAAUCUCCGUUUUGUUCCAGAUGUCGUCAUGGUGCCCUUGGAAAAUGCGUGCACUGUGUACCGUUAGAGCUUUUUGACGAAGACUAUCUGAACCACCUCGACCCGCCGGUGAAGCACGUCUUUCCACGCGUAUCUUUGUAAAAUGACCGGUGGAGCUGAUAAAGGGAAGUUUGCAGCUCUGGAGAACAUCAGCUGUAAGAUAAAGUCAGGAUGUGAGGGUCAUCCUCCCUGGCCUGAGGGAAUCUGCACCAAGUGCCAGCCCAGCGCCAUCACUCUGAACAGACAG